AGAGUUUGAUCCUGGCUCAGGACGAACGCUGGCGGCAUGCCUAACACAUGCAAGUCUAGGGGUAGCAAUACCACUGGCGCACGGGUGAGUAACACGUAGGUUAUCUGCCCCUAUCACAGACAUAACCUCGGGAAACCGAGGCUAAUAUCUGAUGAGGUCGUGAGAUCAAAGCUUCGGCGGAUAGGGAUGAGCCUGCGGCUGAUUAGCUAGUUGGUGAGGUAAUGGCUCACCAAGGCGACGAUCAGUAGCUGGUCUGAGAGGACGAACAGCCACACUGGAACUGAGACACGGUCCAGACUCCUACGGGAGGCAGCAGUGAGGAAUAUUGGUCAAUGGAAGCAAUCCUGAACCAGCAAUGCCGCGUUGUGGGAUGACAGGGCUUCGCCUUGUAAACCACUGUCGGAUGGGACGAGAAGGUGCUUUAAGCACCCGGGACGGUACCAUCAAAGGAAGGGUCGGCUAACUACGUGCCAGCAGCCGCGGUAAUACGUAGGACCCGAGCGUUGUCCGGAUUUACUGGGUAUAAAGGUUGCGCAGGCGGCCGUGUGCGUCAGGGGUGAAAUAUCCGGGCUUAACCCGGAGGGUGCCCUUGAUACGGCAUGGCUUGAGUCCGAGAGAGGAUGAUGGAAUUCCUGGUGUAGCGGUGGAAUGCGUAGAUAUCAGGAGGAACACCGGUGGCGAAGGCGGUCAUCUGGCUCGGAACUGACGCUCAGGCACGAAAGCGCCGGGAUCAAACAGGAUUAGAUACCCUGGUAGUCCACGCCCUAAACGAUGCAUGCUUGGUGUUGGGCUAGCAAUAGUUCAGUGCCGUAGGGAAUCUGAUAAGCGUGCCACCUGGGGAGUACGAUCGCAAGGUUGAAACUCAAAGGAAUUAACGGGGGCCCGCACAAGCGGGUGAUGAUGUGGUUUAAUUCGAUGCAACGCGAAAAACCUUACCUACUCUUGACAUCCCGUGAACUUUCCAGAGAUGGAUUAGUGCCUUCGGGAAUCGAGUGACAGGUGCUGCAUGGCUGUCGUCAGCUCGUGUCGUGAGAUGUUGGGUUAAGUCCCGCAACGAGCGCAACCCUUGUCCUUAGUUGCCAGCGCGUAAUGGCGGGGACUCUAAGGAGACUGCCGGUGAUAAACCGGAGGAAGGUGGGGAUGACGUCAAGUCAUCAUGGCCCUUAUGGGCUGGGCUACACACGUGCUACAAUGGGCAGUACAGAGGGUAGCGAAGCGGCGACGUGGAGCCAAUCCCAGAAAGCUGUUCUUAGUCCGGAUCGCAGUCUGCAACUCGACUGCGUGAAGUCGGAAUCGCUAGUAAUCGCGAAUCAGCAAUGUCGCGGUGAAUACGUUCCCGGGCCUUGUACACACCGCCCGUCACACCAUGGGAGUUGGUUGCACCAGACGUAGGUAGCGUAACCGCAAGGGGCGCGCUUACCCACGGUGUGGUCAAUGACUGGGGUGAAGUCGUAACAAGGUAGCCGUAUCGGAAGGUGCGGCUGGAUCACCUCCUU
rnacentral:rRNA from 1 species